CUCUCUGCUGCCUGGGCUAAUGGUGCUAGUAAUGCCUUUGGGGGAACAUGGCAUGAAACACAGAGGCGGGCGCUAAUGAGUCUAGCGGACCUCUCCGGCACACAGGAUGAAUGAGAGCAAUGGAGAGAGAAGACGCUGAAAGGGAAGAAGGAGCCGCACUUGGUGGAAGACGUAUUCCUUUUAAAUUCCACGGCAAAUGAGGGGGAUCGGUCGAUUCCAGCAACUCAGGGAUGUCAGCAGUCGAUGCAGCAGCCUCGGAUGCCGACUCCAGGCCUCCACUCCUCAAACCGCUGCUGCUGCAGUAAAGCGGCUCUCGCCUGCUUUGAGUUCCUGUUUCCCCGUGUUUUCUGGCUGCCAGACGUCCAUCAUGCAGCAGGUCUUCCUCCUCCAAGCGCGGUCCCAUCAUAUGAAUUAUUGGAGGAUUCCCAUAUUUUCCACCCAUUUGCAGAGGCGUUGCAACACUCCCACUCCUCCCAGUGAAAGCAGACCCAUAACUAUCAAUGGGCAAAUGAGAGGCACGAUUCCUGUCGACAGAGGAGCUCAUAUCAUUGGGGGUGUAAAACGGACAUGGCUGGAAAGGGAACGCA
rnacentral:lncRNA from 1 species